GAUGAACGCUGGCGGCGUGCCUAAUACAUGCAAGUCGAGCGAACAGACGAGGAGCUUGCUCCUCUGACGUUAGCGGCGGACGGGUGAGUAACACGUGGAUAACCUACCUAUAAGACUGGGAUAACUUCGGGAAACCGGAGCUAAUACCGGAUAAUAUAUUGAACCGCAUGGUUCAAUAGUGAAAGACGGUUUUGCUGUCACUUAUAGAUGGAUCCGCGCCGCAUUAGCUAGUUGGUAAGGUAACGGCUUACCAAGGCAACGAUGCGUAGCCGACCUGAGAGGGUGAUCGGCCACACUGGAACUGAGACACGGUCCAGACUCCUACGGGAGGCAGCAGUAGGGAAUCUUCCGCAAUGGGCGAAAGCCUGACGGAGCAACGCCGCGUGAGUGAUGAAGGUCUUCGGACCGUAAAACUCUGUUAUUAGGGAAGAACAAAUGUGUAAGUACCUAUGCACGUCUUGACGGUACCUAAUCAGAAAGCCACGGCUAACUACGUG
rnacentral:rRNA from 1 species